AUGUUCGGAGGUUUGUUAUUGUUUUCAUUCUUUUUGGUUGUUGCCGGUUUGAUUUUUGUGAUUGGGACUCAUUUGUGGUGUCUUGUCACGCCCGUUGCUGUUGCGAGAUCGAGGCGUGAGCUAGAACUCAGAGAUAGUGAAUUUGGGGGAAAACUCAAGAGCAGAGAGAAGAACAGAGACACGAGAGAUAGAAGCAGAUGGGGAAAUUCUCAAUUCCUUCAAUUCUUACCUUCUUCUCCAGUCCAACCUGACCAAAUAGCCAAGACCCCACUUAACUUAACACACGCACACACCACGCGCUACACAACUCCGGAAGAAUUACGUCUCUUUGCCUCAUGCUCCAUCAGGUGUUACAUGUGUGUGGAUUGCAUGUUUGGGGGUCGCAUGUGA
rnacentral:rRNA from 1 species